rnacentral:rRNA from 1 species
GGCGAGCUACCCACGCAAUGGGAGUGCGAAUCUCGAAAGCCUGUCUCCAGUUCGGAUUGGAGGCUGAAACCCGCCCUCCCAUGAAGUUGGAUUCGCUAGUAAUCGCGCAUCAGCCAUGGCGCGGUGAAUACGUUCCCGGGCCCUUGUACACACCGCCCGUCAAGCCAUGGGAGCCGGGGGGUGCCUGAAGUUCGUGACCGCAAGGAGCGACCUAGGGCAAAACUGGUGACUGGGGCUAAGUCGUAACAAGGUAGC